rnacentral:rRNA from 1 species
UACGUAGGGGGCUAGCGUUGUCCGGAAUCAUUGGGCGUAAAGAGCGUGUAGGCGGUCCGGUAAGUCCGCUGUGAAAGUCGGGGGCUCAACCCUCGAAUGCCGGUGGAUACUGUCGGGCUAGAGUGCGGAAGAGGCGAGUGGAAUUCCUGGUGUAGCGGUGAAAUGCGCAGAUAUCAGGAGGAACGCCAAUUGCGAAGGCGGCUCUCUGGGACGGUACUGACGCUGAGACGCGAAAGCGUGGGGAGCGAACAGG